GACGAACGCUGGCGGCGUGCUUAACACAUGCAAGUCGAACGGAAAGGCCCUGCUUGCAGGGUACUCGAGUGGCGAACGGGUGAGUAACACGUGGGUGAUCUGCCCUGCACUUCGGGAUAAGCCUGGGAAACUGGGUCUAAUACCGGAUAGGAGCCAUUUUUAGUGUGAUGGUUGGAAAGUUUUUUCGGUGUAGGAUGAGCUCGCGGCCUAUCAGCUUGUUGGUGGGGUAAUGGCCUACCAAGGCGGCGACGGGUAGCCGGCCUGGGAGGGUGGACGGCCACAUUGGGACUGAGGGUCGGCCCAGACUCCUACGGGGGGCAGCAGUGGGGAAUAUUGCACAAUGGGCGCAAGCCUGAUGCAGCGACGCCGCGUGGGGGAUGACGGCCUUCGGGUUGUAAACUCCUUUCGCUAGGGACGAAGCUGUUUGUGACGGUACCUAGAGAAGAAGCACCGGCUAACUACGUG
rnacentral:rRNA from 1 species